UACGUAGGGGGCAAGCGUUGUCCGGAUUUAUUGGGCGUAAAGAGCGUGUAGGCGGCUUUGCAAGUCCGUUGUGAAAACUCGAGGCUCAACCUCGAGACGCCGGUGGAAACUGCAAAGCUAGAGUCCGGAAGAGGAGAGUGGAAUUCCUGGUGUAGCGGUGAAAUGCGCAGAUAUCAGGAAGAACACCCGUGGCGAAGGCGGCUCUCUGGGACGGUACUGACGCUGAGACGCGAAAGCG
rnacentral:rRNA from 1 species